rnacentral:SRP_RNA from 1 species
CGGUCCCCUCGCAUUGAUCAGCCGUGAACCCGGUCAGGCCCGGAAGGGAGCAGCCGCAGCGGUGACAUCGAGUGCCGGGGUGUGGCUGGUGGGGUCCACCUCCA